UACGAGGGGUGCGAGCGUUAUUCGGAAUUAUUGGGCGUACAGGGCGCGUAGACGGCAUGUUAAGUCAACUGUUAAAUUCCCCGGCCCAACUGGGGACCUGCAGUAGAUACUGGCAAGCUAGAGGGUGGAAGGGAGAAGUGGAAUUCUCGGAGUAGCGGUAAAAUGCGUAGAUCUCGAGAGGAACACCGAUGGCGAAGGCAGCUUCUUGGUCCACACCUGACGUUGAGGCGCGAAAGCGUGGGGAGCAAACAGG
rnacentral:rRNA from 1 species